GACGAACGCUGGCGGCGUGCCUAAUACAUGCAAGUCGAGCGAGCGGAACUAACAGAUUUACUUCGGUAAUGACGUUAGGAAAGCGAGCGGCGGAUGGGUGAGUAACACGUGGGGAACCUGCCCCAUAGUCUGGGAUACCACUUGGAAACAGGUGCUAAUACCGGAUAAGAAAGCAGAUCGCAUGAUCAGCUUUUAAAAGGCGGCGUAAGCUGUCGCUAUGGGAUGGCCCCGCGGUGCAUUAGCUAGUUGGUAAGGUAAAGGCUUACCAAGGCGAUGAUGCAUAGCCGAGUUGAGAGACUGAUCGGCCACAUUGGGACUGAGACACGGCCCAAACUCCUACGGGAGGCAGCAGUAGGGAAUCUUCCACAAUGGACGCAAGUCUGAUGGAGCAACGCCGCGUGAGUGAAGAAGGUUUUCGGAUCGUAAAGCUCUGUUGUUGGUGAAGAAGGAUAGAGGUAGUAACUGGCCUUUAUUUGACGGUAAUCAACCAGAAAGUCACGGCUAACUACGUGCCAGCAGCCGCGGUAAUACGUAGGUGGCAAGCGUUGUCCGGAUUUAUUGGGCGUAAAGCGAGCGCAGGCGGAAGAAUAAGUCUGAUGUGAAAGCCCUCGGCUUAACCGAGGAACUGCAUCGGAAACUGUUUUUCUUGAGUGCAGAAGAGGAGAGUGGAACUCCAUGUGUAGCGGUGGAAUGCGUAGAUAUAUGGAAGAGCACCAGUGGCGAAGGCGGCUCUCUGGUCUGCAACUGACGCUGAGGCUCGAAAGCGUGGGUAGCGAACAGG
rnacentral:rRNA from 1 species